rfam:Gossypium raimondii Chr04_contig_787, whole genome shotgun sequence.
GAUGCUUUAAUGAGAAAGGGAUAAAGGAGCUAGGGGUACAGAGAGAACCAGGAGGAUUCCCUAGAAGCAGCCACCCUUGAAAGAGUGUGUAAUAGCUCACAAAUCGAGCACUUUUGUGCCGAAGAUGAACAGGGCUAAGUGAUCUACCGAA